AUGCCAGGUGAGCUUGUUUUUGAUGUACAUCUGAUUCGUAGGAGGCCGAAACGAAUGAUGGUAGAGCUUGUAAUGCCCCCUUACUGUGGAGGCAUUCCAUUAGUAGCUCGCUAUACAAAA
rnacentral:snoRNA from 1 species